rnacentral:rRNA from 1 species
GUGGGGAAUCUUGCGCAAUGGGCGAAAGCCUGACGCAGCAACGCCGCGUGCGGGAUGAAGGCCUUCGGGUUGUAAACCGCUUUCAGCAGGGACGAAAAUGACGGUACCUGCAGAAGAAGCUCCGGCUAACUACGUGCCAGCAGCCGCGGUAAUACGUAGGGAGCAAGCGUUGUCCGGAUUUAUUGGGCGUAAAGAGCUCGUAGGCGGUUUCGUAAGUCGAGUGUGAAAAAUCUGGGCUUAACCCAGUGGAGCACUCGAUACUGCGAUGACUUGAGUCUGGUAGAGGAGUGUGGAAUUCCUGGUGUAGCGGUGAAAUGCGCAGAUAUCAGGAGGAACACCAACGGCGAAGGCAGCACUCUGGGCCAGUACUGACGCUGAGGAGCGAAAGCGUGGGGAGCAAACAGGAUUAGAAACCCUAGUAGUCC